GUGGAAGGCCUGUAGGCACCUGAGACUGUUAAUAAUCUGUGCACCUCCUCCAGCUUCUCUCCUAGCUUGGAGUUCAGUGCAUGUUGGUGGGACCGCACCUGCAUAUCUCUACGGAAAAUGCCUUUCUUUCCUCUGCCUUGGGCGAUGCUGUCAGAAAAGCAAGUGGGACAAGAAUAUGAUAAAGAGAAGGUUGAGCAGCCAACGAAGCAAAAGCUGAGACUGUGCAGGAUGAUCGUUGAUGGAUCCUUUUCCACUUUCCCAGCGUCUGCAGUCCUGGGGAAGCCAGCGCUAGGGGCCAUGCAGGACACACCUAAAGGCUAAGGUCACUGCUAAUGUGCCUGGGAAAGCAGCAGGUGCUUGGGCCCUGCCACCCGGUGACGUGGGAGACCCAGAUGGAGUUCCUGGCUCCUGGCUUCAGCCUGGCUACCUUGCAGGCAUUUGGAGAGUGAACAAGAUGAUGGAAGACUCUCUUUCUCUCUCCCCCCGCCGCCCCCCCUUCCCCCCGCCUCUCUCCACACUUGCUGCAGCUCCAUAGCUGAAGGUCACCUGUCACAAUCUGCCUGACACUGCUACUGCUCUUCCCUGGGUGAGUCUCCCCAAGCCUGCACCCAAGCUCUGCUUUUACUCUCCAAAGAACACUUAAGACCAACUAGGGGGUGCAGAAGCAAAGCCUGACGGAUGCGCUAAGGAUCACAGAAAAUGACACUAAACUGGACGGGAAGCACCACUGCUCCCCAAGACCGUUUGCCCUCACCCUGCUUUAGAGGACAACCUGCCAGAGCGGGGUUCUUACGUCUGUGACCUGUGCCAUCACACUGGACCUCACACUUGAAGGGGACUCUGGGGGCCGGCAUUAUGGCGUAGCAGGUGAAUCUGUCACCUGGGACACCCAUAUCCCUCAUGGGCACUGGUCCCAUUCCCGGCUGUUCCACUUCCGAUCCAGCUCUCUACUAAUGCACCUGGGAAAGCAGCAGAAGAUGGCCCAGAAGAUGACCCACACGGAAGAGUCGGAAGAAGCUUUGGGCCAUCUGGGGAGUAAACUAGUGCAUGGAAGAUCUCUCUGUCUCUGUGUCUCUCCUUCUCUCUGUAUAACUCUGAUUUUCAAAAUAAAUAAAUGUUUUUAAAUAAAAAAAAAAAUUACCCACUAUGCCACAGUGCCAGCAUCCCAUAUGGCCACCAGUUCAAGUCCCGGCUGCUCCACUUCCGAUCCAGCACUCUGCUGUGGCCUGGGAAAGCACUAGAAGAUGGCCCAAGUCCUUGGGCCCCUGCACCCGAGUGGGAGACCCAGAAGAAGCUCCUGGAUCCUGGCUUUGGAUCACCUCAGCUCCAACCGUUGCGGCCAUCUGGGGAGUGAACCAGCAGAUGGAAGACCUCUCUCUCUCUGCCUCUCCUUCUUUCUCUGUGUAAUUCUGACUUUCAAAUAAAUAAAUAAAUAAAUCUUUUUAAAAAUUUUUUAAAUUUAUUUGAAAUCCAGAGGUAGAGAGAGAGAGAGGUAUCCUGCAUCUGUUGGUUCACUCCCCAAAUGACCACAACAGCCGGGGCUGGGCCAGGCCGAAGCCAGGAACCAGGGGAUUCUUCUGGGUUUCCCAUGUGGGUGCAGGGACCCAAGCACUUGGGCCAUCUUUUGCUGCUUUCCCAGAUGCAUUAGCAGAGAGCUGGAUUGGAAGUGGAGCAGUGAGGUCUCAAACCAGUGCCAAAAUUGGAGACCGGCGCUGUAGAUCACAGCUCAACUUGCUGCACCACAGCACCGUCCCCAAUAAAUCUUUCAGGAAAACAAACAAACAAACAAACAAAAAAAAAAAAAAACAAAAGAAGAAGAAGGGGCUUCAGGCUUAAUUGAAUAUUCCACUAUUACCAUCUUGAGAUUCUUAAUUUUAGAAUGAGGGGCACUGCAUGUAUUUGUGUUUUGUACUGGGCCCUGCGAAUUAUGUAGCUGUUCGUGCCUUCUCAUAACCAUUCUUUUUCACUUGAUCUCUGCCUGUCUGUGUGCGCAGAGACCAGAUCACCUCUCUGCCAGCCAAAGUGCCCGCAAUCCUGCCCCUUCUUGGACCUCUGGUCCAAUUCCAGGCAUAAAAUUGCUCACAGGGAAUUACUUAUGGGAGUUGAAAUUGCCCUUCAAGGAUCAUGACCUCAAGGCAGUGUAGCAGAUGCUCUGAUUUUAAUACAUGUAGAUAACCAGCAUAUAUUUUGGGUCACACAGAUAAAUGUAUCCAAAUACAGUGGUCCAGAGAGCCAGAUAUUUGGUCCCAGACAGACUGAAAACCAAGCAAUCAGGUUUCCAUCCAGAAGUGUUUGUCUUGGGUGAAGGGCCUGGUGUAGGUGGACUCACCCCGUGUCGGGCAUGGUUCGGGGGGAUGUCAGGGUGCGGCCAGAAAAUUCUCAAGGACCUGGCUCUUCACCCUCUCUGCCUGCACUCUCACCCCCACCCUCCCCUCCCCCCACCCAGCUCUUAGAGGGCAGUUUAAGUAAUUUUCCAGACCUGGCCAUGAGGGUAUCUCCCCAGCGGGAGCCCCUCGCUCUACAGAAGUCCCAAGAGAGGGGGCGGGGUUGUGGGACCAGCCCCAGGCCAGCUGCAGGCCGAGCUGGCUGGGAAGGAGCAGGGGAAGGAGGUAGCAGGAAAUGGGUCACUGCCCAUGGCUGGCAGGAGCCACUGCUGCGCCUGAGCUUUUCUUCUGGGAACAAAUCUUUGCUCUCUCCACCGGUGACCCACAUGAACCAGCCCUCCCCGCUGCCAUAAAGUGGGGCAAUAAAGUUGGAGAGAAGGGCUGACUCCACAGCUGUGGGGCCAGAGUUCCCUGGCAGAGGAAAGACCCAAAGACAGAGGGCUUUCACCGAGACAAAGGAAACAAAGCGAGCCUGAGACAAGGAGAUUAGGAAAGAAAAGGAAAACUCUGGGCUGGACCCUCAAUGCCCCUCAAUGCCCCACACCAAAGAGUCCUAUCGCUUUUGCUCUUGCCUGUGCCUCUCCCUGUUUUAAACACUCUUCCUGCUCAAGGUGACGGUGGCAGGCAGGCUGCGAGAGGGUUGCAGAGCCAGCGCAGGCUCUGAGCCGGGAAUCCUGGGAGCCAGGGAGCUCUUGGCAGGACCCCACUGUUUGUCGGAUGAGUCCUGGAAACAUCCGCAGAUUGGCUACGGCCUCUUUUCCUGCAAACAAGAUUCUUCGCAGCCUGAAGUGGGGACCUCAUGACUUUUUGGCCUUGGUCACGUCCUCUUCCCCACCCGGGCCCCAGAGACUCUUCCUCUUUUCCUUGGCAAGCUGUGGCCCCAGAGCGUUAUUUAUCCAUCGGCAGCAGAGGGCGAUCAGGCCCCGGAGAGUGACCGGGGCAGCUCCCGCCGUGUGCUUCGGCUGCUAAUGACUUGCAGCUCCAUCAACAUAAAGCUCAACUUUUCACAAAGGAACAUUGUCACGGAGCAUUUUCCUUUUGGUUCUUGCAAGCUCUGCUGCCUUAAGUAACCCCGUCCCCCUCCCUCCCGCCUUCAUUCCCGCUCUCUUUCCUCUCCUAACCUCUGGGAAGCGGCAGGAAAUGAACGAGAUCUACGGUGGAGAAAAACAAAGCCCAGGGCCUUGCCAAGGGAAACCCCAGGAAAAUGAGCAAGCGCCAUUAGCAGCUGUGGGAGAUGCAGGCAGCUCUGUGUGUGUGUGUGUGAGUGUGUGUGUGUGUGUGUGUGUGUGUGUAGUGAGGGAGGCAAUGGGUGUGUAUUCCAUUUAUCAGUACUUUUCAAACUUUUGUAUACUUACAGAUCACCUGGCAGGCUUCUUAAAAAAACAGCUUCCUGGGUGCCACCCAGAAAUUCUGAUUUACUGGGUCUGGGGUGGGACCCAAGAAUUUGCAUUCCUAACACUUCCCUAGUAUUCUGAUGAUGCCAGUGAGAACUACAUUUUGAGUAGCACAGCCCUAUACUGAGCUGGGGGGGGGGGGGUUGCGUGGGUAGAAUCCUGAUAAGAUGACUCCCCCAGAACAGUACGUCCAGAUGCUCUCCACACCAGGCCAGAAGACCUCAUAGAUGGCCAACUGCUGGCCCCUCCCCUUGCAGAAGGAGCAGAGAAUGCAUGAAGCAGAGCAUUGUUUGCAGAGGGAUGAGUUCAGAUAACAGGCGCCCUCCCCUGGAGUGUUCUUUUUAUCCAGGGAUCAGGAGAAUCCCAGCACCCCACUCCACCCCUUACCCCCCACCCACCCCCACCCCGCCAUGGACACUCUACUGCAUACAGACGAAGACCUUGCUGCCUGUCCUCCUCUUCCCUGGCACUCCACGUCCAGAGCACCUGCCAGACCCCAGAACCCCAGAGUCACAGAGGCUGGUGGCAUGAGCCGGCAAGGUAGACAUUAGCCUCUGUGUGUGAGAGAGACUGAUCCAAAAUGGGAAUUUCUGUGCAAUUGAAUGAAGAAAGAAAGGCACAAGCAAGCCUUGAAAGUGGACCAGUGUUUGCAUGUCAGAAGUCUUGGAACCUUGUUAGGUGGGUCCCAGGGGCAGCUUAGAGGAAUCUUCCCUGCCCUGCACCAAGGGGCAACUACCAGGUCCAGGAACACCAUGCUGAUAAGUCCCGGGAGGAAUUUCACAAAUUCCAUGCUCUUGAAAGCCCUCUGUCCACCAGUAUCCCAGAAAGGGGAGUGGGAAACACUGGGCCACGGCCACACCCAUAUCUGUAAAAACUCCAGUCUGAAUGCAGGCUGGGCCCUCAGUUCUUUCCCGAGAUGCCUGCCUGGUCCGUCAGGUGCAUUCUGUUCAUUAAUCUUGGCUACCAUGCUUACCACUACCUUCUGCCUCACAUCUGGAAUUCUUUUCUUGCGUAAACGUGGAAACCUCCAAGCAGCCUUCUCUUGUAACACCUCCCCCUUGCUGGGACGGACACUACUACAUGCAAAUGGAGUCACCUUUUUUUUUUUUUUUUUUUAAGAUUUCGUUUCUUAUUUGAAAGGCAGAGUUACAGAGAGGCAGAGGCAGAGAGAGAGAAGUCUUUCAUCUGCUGGUUCACUCCCCAAAUCACUGCAACAGCUGGAGCUAGGCUGAUCCGAAGCCAGGAGCCAGGCGUUUCCUCCAGGUCUCCCAUGUGGGUGCAGGGGCCCAAGCACGGGCCAUCUUCUGCUUUCCCAGGCCACAGCAAAGAGCUGGAUCAGAAAUGGAGCAUCCAGAACUCAAACCAGUGCCCAUAUGGGAUGCUGGCACUGCAGGCAGCAGUUACCCACUACGGGACAGCACCAGCCCCAACUGUUUUUUACUCUAAGUUUCUACAAAGGGCAUGACAUCAAAGUCAGCACCAACAUUCAAAUACCUGCUCUGUCCAGGUGCUGCAUUAGACACUGGGAUUAUUAAAUAAAAAUUACAGGAGGCCCUUGUUUUGGACCAAGCUCCUGCUCUAGGUCCAAACAGGCCAGGCUAAAAAAUCAAAAUGGAAUCACUCACGCUAAAGUUCCAUCAACAGAAACAGACUCCGUGAAAAGGUUAUUAUAAGGCUUAUUCAGGGCAGAAUGAGAGUGCUCUCAGCUCAGGAGACACCAGAACCAUGACUUUUAAAAAUAUUUAUUUAUUUUCAUCUACUUGAAGGCAGAGUGAUAGACAGGGAAAGACAGAUCUACCACCAGCUAGUUCAUUCUCCAAAUACCCACAACAGCCAGGGUUGGACCUGGCUGUAGUCAAAAGCCCAGAAUUCCAUUCACAUCUCCACCAUGCAUGGCAGGUUCCAGAAUAGCCAGGACUCAGCCCGGCACCCCAACAUGGGAUGGAGGUGUCCAGGCCAAGGCUUAACCUGCUGAGCCACAACGCAUGUCUGCCCAACAGCUUUCAGAGUCUUGGGAAGCGUUCCCAAGUGGCCAGAUUGUAAACAGAAUUUAUGUAUUCCAUGAUGGCAAAUUUCCAUUUAUCAUUACACAGGGAUCAUCCAUCAGCUGGGUCUGAAAGGGUAGGUUUUAAAUGAAAGCACAUUUCUCACAGGCUAGAAAUUACUUGUUUUGAACAUGAUUAGUUAAAAACACUGGCCCUGAAAAGAAGGCUGAUGAUUAAUUGUUCUGGGAAGAGGUAAGGAACAUAGAGAUUAAAACAAAGGAUUGGCCGGCACCGUGGCUCAAUAGGCUAAUCCUCCGCCUUGCAGCGCCGGCACACCGGGUUCUAGUCCCAGUCAGGGCGCCGGAUUCUGUCCCGGUUGCUCCUCUUCCAGGCCAGCUCUCUGCUGUGGCCAGGGAGUGCAGUGGAGGAUGGCCCAAGUGCUUGGGCCCUGCACCCCAUGGGAGACCAGGAGAAGCACCUGGUUCCUGCCAUCGGAUCAGCACGGUGCACCAGCCGUUGGAGGUGAACCAACGGCAAAAAGGAAGACCUUUCUCUCUGUCUCUCUCUCUCACUGUCCACUCUGUAUAUAAAAAAAGGAGGAUUACACAAGGUGGCUCCAGGUAGAUGAGAUGAAACAGACCCAAUGGCCACAUCACCCUCGUCACAGGGACCUGGUGGCCAGAUUCAGAGCUCUGUCCCAACACUGCUCAGACAGGUCUCACUGGGUGUUUCUCCUGCAGACUUUGCAGGUUUUUAAGAGCAGUUUGUUCCUAGUUCCAUGUUACCAAGCUAUUUAUCUGACUCUUCCAAGAAUUCAGAAUUAGAUAGAUAACAACUAAAUACCCUCAACAGGCCAGUAUCAAUCGAUGUGAUAAACAAUUCCUAGGCAACUGAAAUAACCUACUGUUAGCCAAUCAGUUAUUUUUCUAUUGUUCUGUCCUCACCUUACAACAAAAGUAAGUUUGGAAAGACCAAUCUGCUUUUUGUUCCUUGUUUCUGCUUUCUCCAGCCUUUCUCUUUCUCUAAAUGCAAGCUUUUCUGCUCAGCCCUCAGAACACAUGCCAUGAAUAUGUAUGGAAUGAAGCAUUACCCAAUCAAAAACAGGGGCAGGGGGCAAGCAUUUGAGCCAUCACCCACCGCCUCCCAGGAUGGGCAUUAGCAGCAAGCUGGAUCAGAGGCAGAGGCAGGACUCCAUUCCAGGUACUCAGAUGUGGGAUGUGGGCAUGCCAAGUGGUGGUGUAAUUGCACCCCACUCCCCUCCCCGGGGUGUCAUUGUCCAAGCUCCAACAUCUCUCCCUGUUGAAAUCAUCAAAGUGGGGCUGCUGAGGUUGAUCUUCUGGUGAUCACAGGAGUGACUGCAAUGCUGUGUCCCAUCCAAGGAUUGCAUUCCGCAAUAUUGCCCUUUAACUGUCUGUAGAAGCUGAAACACAGUUGAGCAAAUUUCUGUGAUGUCCACUUUGCUGCUUCUGCUUCAGUCUCUUCUUCACCUUCCACUUAUUCCAUAGGUGACUCAACCUGUUCUUCCAAUGCCUCCUUUUUAACUCUUCUCAAUGACCUUCACUGUGUUCUACUUCUUUAUCAUACAUGUUGGUAAAUCCUUCUCCACCAAGUUGUCUUGCUGAGUGAAUGCUUUUCCUGACUUCUCCAUUGAUUUCCAGGAAGCCUUUUAAAAUCAUUCAUGAGGAACCAGUGCUGUGACAUAGCAGGUUAAGCCGAUGCCUGAGACAUAGGCAUCCCAUAUGGGAGCAAGUUCAAGUCCCAGCUGCUUUAUUUCUGAUCCAGCUCCUUGCUUGUCUGGGAAAGCAGCAGAGGAUGGACAAGUGCUUGGGCCCUUGCACCCACAUGGUGGACUUGGAAGUUUCUGGUUUUAAUUCAUCCAUGGUAGCUUUGAUGUACAUUAUUGCAUAACCAAUAAUGAAUGAUAUCCAGUGCUGCAUUAUGUCCAUAUUAGGGUAUGUGGGAGGUAGGCAGUUUGAUCUAGCAGUUAAGACACUGUUUGUGGUGCCUAUAUCCCAUAUUGGGGUGCCUGGGUUCAUGUCCUGGCUCUGGCUUCUGAUUCCAGCUUCCCACUAGAGUGCACAAUAGAAGGCAGCAGGUGACGGCCCCAGUGUUGGGUCCCUGCCAUGCAUGCUGAAGAUUUGGAUUGGAUUCUUGACUCCUGGCCUUGGCCUCGUUUGGUCCCAGCUGUUGCAGGUAUUUGGGGAGUGAACCAGGAGUUUGGAGCUCCCUGUCUCUCUCUCUCUCUCUUAAAUAAAUAAAGUUAAGGGGCCAGCAUUGUGGCACAGUGGGUGAAGCCACCACACGUGACUUGAGCAUCCUGUGUGGAUGCUAGCUCAAGUCCUGUCUGCUAUACUUCUGAUCCAGCUCCCUGCUAAUGUGCAUGGGGAAGUAGCAGAGGAUGGCCCACGUGCUUGGGAGACCUGGAAGAAGCUCCAGGCUCCUGACUUCGGCCUGGCCCAGCUCCAACCUUUGCGGCCAUUUGGGGAAUGAACCAGCAGAUGGAAGAUCUCUCUUUCUCUCUCUGUCUCUCUGUAAUUCAGCCUUUCAAAUAAAUAAAUCUUAAAAAUAAAUAAAUAAAAAUAAAAGUUAAACAGACAAACAACAGGUGCAUGUAUGUGGGCUUAACAAACCAAAGGCUGUCCUGACCAAGAGCUAAAAUAAUGAAGUUGCAUUUAGAAUUAAGAAUUUAGCCCUGGGGCCGGCACUGUGGCAUAGGAAGUAAAGCCACCACCUGCAAUGUUGGCGUCCCAUAUGGGCAUCAGUUCACGUCCCAGCUGUUCCAGUUCCAAUCCAGUUCCCUGCUAAUACACCUGAGAAAGGCAGUGGAAGGUGGCCCAAGGGUCUUGGCCAUUGUCAUCCAUGUUGGAGACCUGAAAGAAGCUCCUGGCUUUGGCUUAACCCAACCCUGACCAUUGAGGCCAUCUGGGAAGUAAACCAGCAGAAAGAAGAUCUCUCUAUGUCUCUCCUUCCUCUCUGACCUCUUUCAAAAAAUAUAUAUAUAUAACAAAGAAAUAUAUAUAUAUAUAUAAAACAAAAGAAUACAGCCUGCAGAGCACGCAGUACCCAGUGGUUAAGAUGCCCUGUUGGGGUGGGCAUUGUAGCACAACAGAUCAAGCCACAGCUUGGGAUGCCUGCAGGACCAAAUCCUGGCUUCUCUGCUUCCAAUUCAGCUCCCUGCUAAGGCAUCCUGGGAGAGAGGCAGCAGAUGAUGGCCCCAGUACUUGGAUCCCUACCACCAUGGGAGAGAAUAGGAUGGAACUCCUGGCUUCUGGCUUCAGCCUGGCCCAGCCUAAUGGCUGCAGGCAUUUGGGGAUUAAAUCAGUGAAUGGAAGAUCUGUGUGUGUGUGUGUGUGUGCGCGUGCACACACAGGCCUUUUAAAUAAAUAAAUCUGUUUAAAAAAAAGAUUCCCUUCUCCCACAUGGGAGUACCUGGGUUUGGGUUUGACUCCCAGUUCCAGCCCCUGACUCUUGGGUUCCUGCCACCGAAAUGGGAGUCCUGGAUUGUGUUUCCAGGUCCUGGCUUCAGCCUUAGUCCAUCCCCAGCCAUUGUAGGUGCUUGGAAAAUAACCCAGUGGAUGGGCGCUCCAUCUGACUGUCACUUUCUCGCUCUACCUCUCAAAUAUGUAAAUAAGAACUUACGAAUUUUUUGUUUCUGGAAAUUUUCAUUUAAUAUUUUCAGACUGCCAUUACGGGGUAACUAAACACCUCAUAAAGCAACACCACAGAUAAGGGCCACUACUGGGUUUGUUCCAGCAGAUAAGGGGCUGCCUCUCUUGCUGCACCAAGCUACAAAAGAUAAGCCACAAAGGGCCAAGGGGAUCAGCUUGUGAACCUGAGAAAGCCACCCGCAGAGACUCCAGAAUGACUCAGAAGGUCCUUGAAGGGGUGACUGGUUGUGUAAAUCUGGUGGGUAAGCAACAAAGGGCAGUGUCUGGUGAUUGUUACCCUGCCCCAGCCCCUCCUCCCAGGCAGGUGUGGCAGGCGUGGCUGGUGGCGGUGUGAAGCACAAUUCCCAUGGAGACUGGUAGAGCUGCUUGUGGUUAGGGUACCUGGACACUUUCCAGGGGGUUGGGGCUGUCAGCAGUUUCAAAAGAAUCAGUUUCCAGGUCUUCCAUCUCCCCGAAACCAAUGUGCCAAUGUGCCUUAACAGCGUUUGCAGCCCCAAAUUUCUUUUCUCAUCUCAUUUUCUCAAAUACUGUCUUCCCACUCUACCAAAAAAAAAAAAAAAAAAAAAAAAAAAAAGGAAGCGGGGGAGCGGGGGACAGUCAUUCAGUGCAAUGGUUAAGAGGUUAAGAUGCCUGCAUCCUAUAUUGGAGUGACUGCGUUCAAGUCCCAGUUCUGACAAUGUGCAGCCUGGGAAGCGGCAGGUGACAGCUUGUUGCAGGCAUCUGGGAAAUGAACCAGUGAAUGGGAGCUCCCUCCCAGUCUGUCUAUGUCUCUCACUUUUUCUCUCUCAUCUUUGCCUUUUGAAGAAAUUAAAUGAAUAAAAAAAUUUUUUUAAAGAUUUAUUUUAUUUAUUUGACAGGUAGAGUUGCAGAGAGGUAGAGACAGAGAGAGAGGUCUUCAAUCCGUUGGUUCACUCCCCAGAUGGCUGCAACGGCCAGAGCUGCACCGAUCCAAAGCCCGGAGCCAGGAGCUUUUUUCAGGUCUCCCAUGCAGGUGCAGGGGCCCAAAGACUUGGGCCAUCUUCUACUGCUAUCCCAGGCCAUAGCAGAGAGCUGGAUCGGAAGAGGAGCAGCCAGGACUCAAACCAGUGCCCAUACGGGAUGCCGGCACUUCAGGCCAAGGUGUUAACCCGCUGAGCUACAGCGCCAGCCCCUGAAUAAAAAUUUUUUUGAAAAGAAAAAAAAGUUUACCUCUUACCCUUCCCUAAUCCUGCUAAAUGUGAGUGCUGGGGCCCAAGGAUUUAGGCCAUCUUCUACUGCUUUCCCAGGCCGUAACAGAGAGCUGGAUCAGAAGAGGAGCAGCUGUCCGGCGCUGCAGCUCAAUAGGCUAAUCCUUCACCUGCGGCUCCGGCACACCGGGUUCUAGUCCCGGUCGGGGCGCCAGAUUCUGUCCCGGUUGCUCCUCUUCCAGGCCAGCUCUCUGCUGUGGCCAGGGAGUGCAGCGGAGGAUGGCCCAAGUGCUUGGGCCCUGCACCCCAUGGGAGACCAGGAGAAGCACCUGGCUCCUGCCUUCGGAUCAGUGCAAUGUGCCUGCCGCAGCGGCCAUUGGAGGGUGAACCAACAGUAAAGGAAGACCUUUCUCUCUCUCUCUCUCUCUCUCUCAUUGUCCAC